UACGUAGGGUGCAAGCGUUAUCCGGAAUUAUUGGGCGUAAAGAGCUCGUAGGCGGUUUGUCGCGUCUGCUGUGAAAACCCGAGGCUCAACCUCGGGCCUGCAGUGGGUACGGGCAAACUAGAGUGCGGUAGGGGAGAUUGGAAUUCCUGGUGUAGCGGUGGAAUGCGCAGAUAUCAGGAGGAACACCGAUGGCGAAGGCAGAUCUCUGGGCCACUUACUGGACGCUGAGGAGCGGAAAGCGUGGGGAGCGAACAGG
rnacentral:rRNA from 1 species